ACCCAGAAUGGUAUCAGAAUGAACUAAUGGAUAAUGGGAUGAACUAUCUUAAACCAUACAAAGUACACUGAAUUCACCACACCAGAUUAGCACUGCUAUUUAUUGGUUACAAUAUCUAUAUGGACAGGUGUUUAUACUGUAAGGUCAUCCAUUCCAAGAAUUUAAGCACUCAAAAAGGUGGCAGAAAAGAACAGAUAAAGAAAGAGAAUUAGAAGCCAUAAAACUACACCCAUACAAAGCAGUAUUGGAAGAGUCACAAACAGAACCUAAAUGUCCUGCUUUCAAGAUCAGCUUGAUUUUUAGACCAACAGUUUCCUUUAAAGUAACCAGGGGCAGAGGACUGGGGUGAAGCAGUGAGCUGAAAUGAAAAAAAAAACAACCAACAAACCAACAACAGAAGAAGUUCCAACAAAACCCCCACCAGACUACAACAAUAUUCAUUGUACUUCAGUGCUUCUAAAUGUCUCCUGCCUUUGUGUGAAUGCAACACAAUAUUGAACCUGCAAAAUACAAGUUUCACCACAAGAA